CAAGUCGAACGAACCUUCGGGUUAGUGGCGGACGGGUGAGUAACGCGUGAGAAUCUGCCCUCAGGAGGGGGAUAACGGCUGGAAACGGCCGCUAAUACCCCAUAUGCCGAGAGGUGAAAUGAAUUUCGCCUGAGGAUGAGCUCGCGUCUGAUUAGCUAGUUGGUGGGGUAAGAGCCCACCAAGGCUUCGAUCAGUAGCUGGUCUGAGAGGAUGAUCAGCCACACUGGGACUGAGACACGGCCCAGACUCCUACGGGAGGCAGCAGUGGGGAAUUUUCCGCAAUGGGCGAAAGCCUGACGGAGCAACGCCGCGUGAGGGAUGAAGGCCUCUGGGCUGUAAACCUCUUUUAUCAAGGAAGAAGAUCUGACGGUACUUGAUGAAUAAGCCACGGCUAAUUCCGUGCCAGCAGCCGCGGUAAUACGGGAGUGGCAAGCGUUAUCCGGAAUUAUUGGGCGUAAAGCGUCCGCAGGCGGCCUCGUAAGUCUGUCGUUAAAGCGUGGAGCUUAACUCCAUUUCGGCGAUGGAAACUGUGAGGCUUGAGUGUGGUAGGGGCAGAGGGAAUUCCCGGUGUAGCGGUGAAAUGCGUAGAUAUCGGGAAGAACACCAGUGGCGAAGGCGCUCUGCUGGGCCAUAACUGACGCUCAUGGACGAAAGCCAGGGGAGCGAAAGGGAUUAGAUACCCCUGUAGUCCUGGCCGUAAACGAUGAACACUAGGUGUCGGGGGAAUCGACCCCCUCGGUGUCGUAGCCAACGCGUUAAGUGUUCCGCCUGGGGAGUACGCACGCAAGUGUGAAACUCAAAGGAAUUGACGG
rnacentral:rRNA from 1 species